AUGUGUAUAUGGCACGAGAGAGAGAGAGAGAGGGAGAAGGAGAAAACCUUCUCCUUCAACAACAACAAGAAAUUCAGCAAAUCAAAGAGGUUCUAGUCCUGAAAUUGAAUGCAUGUAUUGAGAUUCUUGAUCAUCUAAGUGUCUCUAACAUAAGGAGUGAAAAAGGAGGAAACGAGCCAUUCCGGAUCACAAACAAGGCAAGGCAAAGGUAAAAUAAAUCUUAAGUGGCAUGCUACGCACGGAACGAACACACUCCAAACCGCUCUCAAUAUGCUUCCGCACUUAACUUAUGCAAACGGGUCAAAACAUUUUGUUAUGCAAUUUAAAAUGUAUGUGUUAAAAAUUAAUCAAAGACUUAUAUUCUACAUCCUUUGUGAAUGUUGGAUGGUAUAUAACUGGAUAUGAACGGUUAACUUUAUGAGUAUGACCAAGUUUUCUUUAAAAAUGUGUAAAGUUCAAAUUUAGUCGUAAUUUUAUUGUUUUGGACAUUAGUUUUGACCGUUUUAAAGGAUGGCCGUUACAUAGAACAAUCAUCAGUUUGCUUACGUUGUUUCCGGAAGUUGUUACCGUACUUCAAUAUGUUAAAGAAGAUGGAGAUUGUAGUCAACAACGAACAAAUGCAAAAGAUGUACCUGGAUGAUUUUACUACAAAAGAAUUAGGGACUCUUUUGGGUGAUAUUGAGUCAUUUCGUUACACUACAAGCGAUGAUGAUAGAUUUGCUAACUUAAAUGGAAUAAGCGAUCUUGCUCGUCUUAUGGUGGAAACCGGAACACAUAGUUCUUGUCCUUUGGUUUAUCGGGUAGUGAAGCUAGCUUUGGUUUUACCGGUUGCAACCGCAACCGUUGAAAGAUGUUUUUCUAAAAUGAAGCUUGUCAAGACGGAUUUACGUAAUCGAAUGGCCCGGAAUAUUUGAACAAUGUUGUGGUUGUGCGAUCGAAAAAGAAACUUUUGAUAAAGUAAAAGAUGACGACGUGAUGGAACGAUUUCAAGCUAUGAGAAAAAGAAGAGGGCUAAUCUAUUAGGUAUUAUUUUUUUAUUAUUGUACUUACUAUCGUUUUUUAUUAUUGUAUGAAUACACCGUAAUUUUUUUUGGGAUACCCCUGGUUUUAAGGUCUAGCUCCGCCACUGGCUGGUGAUUGUUUGUUGUACCAAAUUCGACUGGGGUGAUUAGUAAUUUGAAUUCUUGAA